rnacentral:rRNA from 1 species
AUUGAACGCUGGCGGCAGGCUUAGCACAUGCAAGUCGAGCGGGGUGAUGGUGCUUGCACCAUCACUUAGCGGCGGACGGGUGAGUAAUGCUUAGGAAUCUGCCUAUUAGUGGGGGACAACAUCUCGAAAGGGAUGCUAAUACCGCAUACGUCCUACGGGAGAAAGCAGGGGAUCACUUGUGACCUUGCGCUAAUAGAUGAGCCUAAGUCGUAUUAGCUAGUUGGUGGGGUAAGGGCCUACCAAGGCGACGAUCUGUAGCGGGUCUGAGAGGAUGAUCCGCCACACUGGGACUGAGACACGGCCCAGACUCCUACGGGAGGCAGCAGUGGGGAAUAUUGGACAAUGGGGGAACCCUGAUCCAGCCAUGCCGCGUGUGUGAAGAAGGCCUUAUGGUUGUAAAGCACUUUAAGCGAGGAGGAGGCUCUUUUGGUUAAUACCCAAGAUGAGUGGACGUUACUCGCAGAAUAAGCACCGGCUAACUCUGUGCCAGCCGCCGCAGUAA